GUUCCUUGGAAAAGGACAGCUGAGAGGGUGACACUCCCGUCCGCCUGGUGGAGUGAGUCUUUGUCAACGAGUCGAGUUGUUUGGGAUUGCAGCUCUAAUUUGGUGGUAAAUUCCAUCUAAAGCUAAAUAUUGGUGGGAGACCGAUAGCGUACAAGUACCGUGAGGGAAAGAUGCAAAGAACUUUGAAAAGAGAGUUAAAGAGUACCUGAAAUUGCUGAAACGGAAGCGAAGGAAACCAGUGUUUGUUGGUUCAUAUUUCCCUUGUCACUUGUGAUGUGGGCGCUGUGAGCUUGCGUGGGUUUGCUUUGGUUGAUUCCUUUGGAAGAGCGCAGUCAGAGUUGAUGUCU
rnacentral:rRNA from 1 species